ACAAGCUGCGGAGCUGUGUAUCACGAAGAACCGGAGAACGGUUGGCGAGUCUGGAUGAGAGGACGGCGGCGGAGUCACUGUGGACGUUGUUCGCUCAGCAGGUUAGAGUGUGGGACUCAAAGCUUUUUUCCCCCGUCCGUCGUGUCUUUUCCUGUGUGAACUCUGCCGCUCUCAACAGCAGCACUGGCUAUGAGCUAGCUCCUGCUACCUCCAACGAAGCAUCUCUCAACUGCUACAAGGUCCAACUUGACACACAACUUGAAUCCAACCAGACUGAACACUGACUCCAGGGACAGACGAGCCUGAAGGACACAGCUGUGAUGACCAUGUUCUGUCUCUUAUGGCAAAGCAGAAAUAUAAAACACUGGGUUCUUAUCUAAAGUGUAUCAAAUCAGAUCUCCACCAUGUUGCUGCUGAGGACAUCAGUUGUCUUCCAGUUGACCAGCAUGAAGCUGCAGAUCUCCACCAUGUUGCUGCUGGGGACAUCAGGAGCUGCAUUAAUGAGGAGCAGAAGCGUACUGUUAUGAAUGUUUUGUGUUGUUUAUGAAGCACUACUUAUUUCAGCUAGAACCGAUGUACUAGGGUCUGGGUUUGUAUCCUAAUGGUUAAAUGCACAUACUUUAAAUCGCUUUUGAUAAAACGUGACAAAGAAAUACAACAUUGUACACAUAGAUAAAAUGUCUUUCUACCUCAUCUGUAAUAUUCAAGGUGAUGAUCUCCCACAGAGCUGUUGAUAACAGUCCACAUCAAGUCUCUCCACUUCCCUCAGUGUGAAAACAUAAUUAUAUAAUUAAUUGGAGAAGUGUUUACAACACUGAUGUGUGGACAUUAUAAUGUUAUCACUACUGUCUAAUUCACUCUACAACUCCAUGACAGACUAAAUAAACGAUGUGAAAAUAGUAAUGGCGGAUAUACCAUCCUGUAUCAGAAUAUUGGUGAAACAGUUACUAUCACAUGAAACGUACACGUGUAGCGUAUUGAUAGUAAAUCAUUAAAAAAAAUAAUGUCACAACCAAAACAA